rnacentral:lncRNA from 1 species
UGAUCUUUUGUUGAUAUUAUACCUUCUGCAAUCCAUAACUGGUACAAUGCCUCUGUGUCUAUGUCAGAGUCUUCUUCAUAUCUACUCAAGUAAAGGAAGCAAGGCUUCAACUUGUAGGGCAAGUCAUUGUAGCUUAAAGCUAGUAUCUUGUGCAGAUUUCCUUCUUCUUUGAUCAAGUUGUUUCCUCUUCCAAGAUGAGCUUUAAUGUUUCUAUUGACAGUCGCCCACUCAUUCAGGUCCUUCUUGGUGGCAAGAGUUCCGCUGAGUACUAUCACAGCCAAUGGAAGACCCCCACAUGCUUUCACCAUUUCCUUCCCUAAGUUUUUCAAUUUUUUUAAAUCUUCAUGUUCUGUCAAAGAGAGAUGAUGAGUAGUUCUGUUAGUCUUAUUACUUAAUAGACAGAAGUGUCGAGUUGCUCAAUGUAUGUGCAGUACAUUGAAUUAACAAUUUAACAUUUCUGUUUAGCAUCAUGAAUAUAUGUGUGUGUAUAUAUAAGAAACUCUGAGAAAAAUUGAAACUUCUCCAUUGAGAAACAAAAAAUAAGAAACUUUGAGAAAAAUUGAGCCAAUUCCAUUGAGGAAAGAUCAUCUGUUGUUGUUUUUGUUUAGUCAAUAAAAUUUGGAGCAGAAGACAUGUAAAGGGAUGUUUAUACUUUCGGGUGAAACAGAGGAUUUGCCUGUGUUUCGGGAAUUUGUCUCUUCGUGUGCAUUGUGUCGUUAAAUCAAUAAAAGUUGUGAGCUUAACAAAAAGGGGGCAAAAAGAAAAAAAGAGUAUAGCCCCAAAAGAGGGGAAAAUACUUAACCACUCUUUAUAGUCCAAUUAAUUAUGAACUGCUCAUCAACCACUCACAUUUCGGGUGAAAAAAAGGAUUUGCCUGUCAGAUUUACUCAAGUUGCGUUUUAUUAUACACCGCUGUUCAUAAGAAACCCAAAAAAAAAAAAAAAACUUUACUCUAUGCUCUAAUAUUUCUUGUUUGACUCAUAUCAAUAUUCGUCUUGCCUUCUCUUGCCUUUGGCUUUUAGAGGCAGUAAAAUUAAAAUUGCAUGGCAUUGUAAUUCCUCUAGUAGUUUCUUUUCAUUAUUUUUUUUUUAUUAAAGGUCAACAAUAUAUACAUACACCUACACUAUAGUAAAGGGGGGGCAGAUCAAAUUGGGAGAACUAAACCACCUCCCAUUCCACAAAUAUCUUUAAGUUUUAGUGGCCGCUAACCAUUCAAGGGACUGUUUACUAGUUUCUUUUCUUUGAUUACCGUGUACUAAUAAGUAAUAAGGAUAGCCACAACAAACAAACCCUCAAGAUCUACAGUUUAUCAUCCCUUGAUCAAGUAAAAAAGGCCCAAUUUAGCAAAAUAAUAAAAAUAAAAAAUAAAAAGUGUUUUAAGAAGUCAUGUACCUCCAUGAAACCUGCCCCGUAAAGCUUUCCUCUGUAGCAGCUGCCAACUUUCGUCCUCACUUAAAAAGCGCGGUUCGUGGUGAAAACCACUGGGAUCAAUAUGCAAAGCCACGUCUUUAUUGCGAGAUGUAACUAAGAUCUUGCUUCCGUCGUUUCUAAUUGGAAAUGCUUGCUUUAUACAUUCCCAUGGUUCUGUGGCCCAAAUGUCAUCAAGAACCACAAGACAUUUCUUGUUUUGCAGGAUUUGAAAAAGUUGCCUGACGAGCUCCUCAUCCCUCCACUCCAGUAUCUCUUCUCUCUUUUCUGGGAUCAGGCUUAGCAAGAUCCUUUGCAAAAUGUCUUCCUUUUGCCACUUUUGCGAGACACAUACCCAAGCAAGACCAUCAAAGCAGCGCCUCAGUUCAGGGUGAUUGUAUACCUUUCUGGCAAGAGUUGUCUUUCCCAAGCCACCCAUCCCACAGAUGGAGACAACUCUAAAGUGUUGAUCGAUCUCAUGAUCAUGAUCGCUUCCCCUCAACAGAUGCUUUACCAGCAUCUCAACAUCAUCCUCCAAUCCAACAAAGUCAUCCUCGACAACAUGGGAAUAUGUCCGCCUCAAUUGUUGAUGCGAUGAACUUGCGCCAUCCUGUCUUUCCAUCACAGCUGCGAUCCCAUAUUCCUGGAAACUUUUGGUGAGAUCAGAGAUUUUCGUUUUCAGAGUCUGAAUACCCGUUCCUGUGGUGUGCCUAGGAAAGCACUCAUUCAGGAUACCAACACAUCUCUUUGUGGUGCCUCUAACGCCUUUCCUCCUUCGGGACGCGACUUUGAAAGCAUAUCUUUCAAUCAAGUCAUCGGCCUCAUAAGCUAGAUCUCUAGCUUGUGAAAUCCACACCUUGAUCCUUUCCUCCUCAUGCUGCCUUGCAUCUGCAUCUUUUAAGAACGAUUGUAUCCGCUUUAGCUCUAGUUGAAGUUGCUCCACUUGGUCCCUCACCCCUUGUAAGAACUUCGUUUCUUCAAUCAACAGGUUGCCAAUUGUUUCCGCAGCAAAACUGACAACGGCCUCAGCCAUUUUUGCUAGACAAAAAGAUGAAUUCUUUUUUUUUUUUUUUCAAGGAAGCGUGUAGGUAGGUUUAAGGGUAGUACAUUUGAGGAAGCGAUGACACCUCCUACUUAUAUUCAUCUUCUUAAACUACAUAAACUAGAAGGAUUGGAGGGAGGGAAAGAGUAUUAAUUAGGUAAUACAUUGCUUACAAGUUUCUUAGACAGCCCAAUAAGUUGUCCCUGAUUCGGGAUGCAAUAAGCUUUUUCCCCACAGAAGAAAAGCAUCCUCUUCCAUAUAGAUACUGUGAUUUAUCAAAGAAAAGAAAUGCAUCUCAGAUCCUUUUGAAAGAAAUUAAUAGCGGAUUUUUCUGAUACCAAGUACGAUAACGAAGGAAAGUAUAAAUAGUAUCAAAUUAAAUUCCUUAUGCCUAUAUCCAUGUCUCUAUUUCAUAUUGACCAGAUGUUCCAUACCUCAUCCAGCUAUCUAAAGAAGGCAAGAAGACCCUCUUCUCUAUUGAAUACUUUGGUUGAAACAUUUCUUUACUAGUGAGGAUUGCGAUCUAUAGCCAUGUGGCUAAUGCGAUUGUUAUAACUCUAUGUAUGCACGUAUAGUUCCACAGACAUAUUCUCAAUGAAAGCCAAUCAAAUUGCAUUUUUUGCUGCGUAGCAAGAGUAUAAAUUCUGCAAUGGAUUUUAUUUCAAAAUUCGUCUGCCGAUCUUUACAUACCACUUCUGCGUGCCUUCUAUCCCUUAAUCCCUGUCCUAAUAGUUGUCUUACUCCAUGCAUGAACUACGCGAAAAAGUUAGUGGCAACAAAACAAAACUAGCACAAGUAGAGGAUAUUUCUUGUCAACUGUACUAUUCUUGACGAAAGGAGUUGAUUGCAAGUCCCCCCAUGGUUAAUUACGUUUCAUUUCAGGGCCUCUGAUCUAAUAGCAUUUAAUUUUCCACGCUUUUUCUUGCUUUCUAAGUGCAGAACUUCUUUUUUUUUUUUUUUUUUUUUUUAAUUUUAACAGGGGAAAGUUGGAGUUUAAAAAAUGGAGAGGAUGAAGAGGAGAUACCUUUGAAUCGCAACGUCUCAACUUUUAACUAUUAGAUCAAGACUUUCUUGAUUUCUAAGUGCAAAUCAUCUUGCAAAAAAUGAACAUAAUUUUUAAGUUAUUUUGACAACCUCUAGAAAUCCGUUUUAGAGAGAGAGAGAGAGAGAAUGCCCACUUUUACAUCCAACCCAACAAUUUACCACAUAGAAAAUUAAACAUUCAAUGACCAAAACCUAGAAGACCUCAUGCAUUGAACUUUUAAACUUUUUGGGGAUGUACCUUUGGGGGCUUUUUAGCCUCUAAAUCCAAUCUUCGCCCAAAUGAACUUAUUCGUACUCUUUUUUUUUUUUUUUUUUAUUUUAGUUCCUGGAGACUAUGGACAACUUGAACAUAAUGGCAUAAGCUAGUCAGCAAAAUUCAAAAAUAUAAAAAAAAAUCUGUACCUAAAACAUUAAACAAUGAUAAUGGACUAAAAUGGAAAAGCAAACCACCAGUGAGAUAACCUAUUAUUGUGUUGUUGCCAAGUUGGGAUGCAUAAGAAAAUUGGUCUUUGAUAUCCAGUGUUUGUUUGCCAAGAAAAGGGAACGAAAAUGACUUUCACGCCAGUUUUGAAUAUUUGUUUCUUAGGAAAUUUAUGGGACCCAUUACAUUCCACUCAUUUUCCUUAAAAUUUUCCUUGCUGAAAUUUAUAUGGAAGUGACUCAGGGAAAAGUUUCAACUAAUUAUCUUUUACAACUCCUUUCUUUCUAAAUUAGAAUAUCUUAGAAUUUACAAUUCAAAAAAUUGGCUUGUAAUUAGACAUUUUAUUCUUAUUUUAACAACUAAUGAAUUAGUAAUUUGUUGACUUUUUAUGACAUUAGUACUUUUUUUUGUUUUGCAUUUUAUGCUCCCUCUUUUAUGUCUAUAUAUUAACUUGUGGUUAAAGAAUGUGAUUGAUUUUGAGGUAACAACAACUCUUCCAUUAUGCAAAAUGUUAUGUUUAUUACAUAUUUUUACAUGUAUUAAAUACCAAAAAGAAGUUUAAUAUUGAAUAUUUUCUAUUAACGAAUACAUUACCCAAUUUUUUUUUGUGACUUUCCGGUUAAACAAAUGCAAGAAUUUGUAUUUUCUUGCAUCAUUUUCUUGUUAACCAAACACAUGUGGGAAAAUUAGUUUCCUUCCAUUACAUGGCUGCACUUCAUUUCUUCCCACGGCAUACUUUCUUACACGGUUUCCCCCCUGAAACAAACAAAGCCUUAAGUUUUCUUUUUCCUUCCCACGAUAUCAGUUGCGAAGCCAUUGUUGUUUAAACAAAAAGGUAUUAUAAAAAAAAAAUUCAUUAAUUAAAAAUAUAAUCUGCAUUAAAUUACAGCACAAACUCUAAUUAGACAAAUUACAUCAAGAAAUAUGCAGAGUAUAAGCUGAGUGAAAAUCAUAGACACGAGACACAUAAUUAAUACGGAAAUGGAAAAGGUUUGAGAGCAUCAUAUUCCAGCAGUGAAUUAAUCAUGCCCGUCAAAUUGAUCCUAACAGCACAAGUUAAAAUCAAUUAGGAUCAGUUUUAAGUACCACACAAGGCUUGACGAAUCAAAUGGAUGUAUGUUCCGAAAAUUGAGAUGCUAAACAAAAAGAAAUUAAUCAGAGGUACCUCAUCUGCUGAGUCAGGAUAAAAUAUCACGCACGCUAAUGGUGGGUAUAUGGGAGACUUUGUCAAAAUCCUGUCCCUUAUCUUCACCAUUUACUGCUUGGAUUCUAUCUGUGAAUUCCUUUGGCAUCGAUGCAAUGUUCAACUCUUUCAGCGUUUUAACGUAUCUCAAUCCAUUGGGAACCAUCUCCAGCUUCGUGCAAUAUACAAUUGUCAAGACCGAAAGGUUGGGCAUGGCUCCUUCGUCAACAUUCCACUUCUCCAAGUUCCGUAGAAAUUCAAAACGAAGAAAUCUAAGUUGGCCAAAACCUGUUGCCUUGCACCUCAUCUCUUUCCCGAGAAUAUAUAGAUCUUGCAAGUGAAGCGACCGGAGAUUAGGGAGCCUUUCCAGAGUUUCCAUGGAAUAUUCCUCUAUCUCCAUUGUGGUUAGUUUCAAUUUAAGAAGGCUUGCAUACAUGUACUGGGCUUCGUGCUUGGGGAAAUUGGCCAGUGGACCAUAUACCUCCAAGACUUGAAGAUUGCGACUAGAGAAACAUUGACCAACAGCAUCCGACAAUUUCUCCUUGUUUGAGGCGGCACUGGCUGCUGAAUAAAUACGUAGGGAUGUGCAACGCACGUGGUCUGAGUUUGCCAUUAAUCUAUGGAUUUCUACAGGGAAGUACUCGUCAUCAAAGUUCCCCAUGAAUACCACGGCGGAUAGUACUCGAAGGUUCUUCAAUGUGGAUAUAUCUUGAGAUGAACAAGUCGGAGGACAGAAGUUUUCCAGGAUCUCUAGCUUGUCCAAUCCCUUGAGUCGCAAAUUCUUGCAGCACAAAUUUAAGCUAAACUUGCCCACCAUACGGUCAGCGUAAUUAGCCGGAAGAUACAAGUGCCUAAGCUGUCUCAUCUUCCAAAGCACAUUAGGUAUUCUACACACUCCGGCUCGUAAAUCAAGUGUCUGCAAGUUUUGUAAGUUGCCCAAGGAUGAUGGCAAACAGACGAAAACUGAAUUCCUCAAACUCAAGUAUCGCAGGUGGAUCAGCUCCCCAACAGCUUUUGGGAGCCUCAAGUGAUCUGCUACUAGGAGAAAUACAGUUUUAAGUAUGUGAUCUUCCGAGAAAGCAGGACGGAUCCCUUCAAUGGUCAACACUCUGAGCAUUUUGAACCGAUUGAAUUGAGACUUCAUUUUCUUAGGAAGACGCCCCUCAUAGAAUUCAUUACCUAAGAGCAACAACGCCAGUGACCUCAGGUGCCUAGUAUUUCUCUUCUCAGCUGGAGGGACAUAUUUCCUUACAUCCUCCUUAGAAAAAUGGACGGCUAGACGGUAAACUUGUGAGUGAUCAUUAUUGCCAUGCUCAUCGAGAAUUCCAUCAUGAUAAUGGCUUAUGGAUAACAAGAAAUUCUCUUCUUUAGCCUUGAGCAAACUUAGGUCUCUCAUUAAGUCAUGAAGGCGACACGAUGCAAAUGAUCUUCCAACGGAGGACAGCAUCACAUCAUCAUCAUCAGGGGCUUUACCUUGAACCAUGCACCGAGUUACUAAUUCUCCCAGGUAUCUUUCUGCUACAUCCAUCAUUGAUUCUUCACCAAUCUGAUCUUUUGUUGAUAUUAUACCCUCUGCAAUCCAUAACUGGUACAAUUUCUCUGUGCCUAUGUCAGAGUCUUCUUCAUAUCUACUCAGGUAAAGGAAGCAAGGCUUCAAUUUGUAGGGCAAGUCAUUGUAGCUUAAAGCUAAUAUCUUGUGCAGAUUUCCUUCUUCUUUGAUCAAGUUGUUUCCUCUUCCAAGAUGAGCUUUAAUGUUUC